rnacentral:rRNA from 1 species
CCUACGGGAGGCAGCAGUAGGGAAUAUUGGACAAUGGACGCAAGUCUGAUCCAGCCAUCCCGCGUGAAGGAUUAAGGCCCUAUGGGUUGUAAACUUCUUUUCUUUGGGAAUAAAAAGCGGUAUUCAUAUCGCCUUGAAGGUACCAGAGGAAUAAGCACCGGCUAACUCCGUGCCAGCAGCCGCGGUAAUACGGAGGGUGCAAGCGUUAUCCGGAUUCACUGGGUUUAAAGGGUGCGUAGGUGGCUUUGUAAGUCAGCGGUGAAAGCCUGGAGCUCAACUCCAGAAUUGCCAUUGAUACUGCAGAGCUUGAAUCAAGUUGAGGUGGAUGGAAUAUUACAUGUAGCGGUGAAAUGCUUAGAUAUGUAAUAGAACACCGAUUGCGAAGGCAGUUCACUAAGCUUGUAUUGACACUGAGGCACGAAAGCGUGGGGAUCAAACAGGAUUAGAUACCCUGGUAGUCCACGCCCUAAACGAUGCAAACUCGACAUUAGCGAUAUACAGUUAGUGUCCAAGCGAAAGCGUUAAGUUUGCCACCUGGGAGUACGACCGCAAGGUUGAAACUCAAAGUAGUAAGUACGGACGUCGAGAGAGACGACGACGACGACGACGGAGGGAGGAGG